GGUCAUGAGUGCCAGUGACAAGCCCCGGCUCGCUGGUCGGCAACCCUCCUCCGCGGUGGGGUGCUCCGGGUGACGACCUGGCCGUGCCGAACCGUGCACGGCAAGCGCGGAUU
rnacentral:ncRNA from 1 species